UACGGAGGGUGCAAGCGUUAAUCGGAAUUACUGGGCGUAAAGCGCACGUAGGUGGGUUUGUAAGUCGGAUGUGAAAGCCCUGGGCUUAACCUGGGAAUUGCAUUCGAUACUGCUUGACUAGAGUAUGGUAGAGGGAAGUGGAAGUUCCGGUGUAUGGGUGAAAUGCGUAGAUAUCGGAAGGAACACCAGUGGCGAAGGCGAAUUCCUGGGCCAAUACUGACACUGAGGUGCGAAAGCGUGGGUAGCAAACAGG
rnacentral:rRNA from 1 species